UGUAGGAUGUUGAAAUUGGCAGACAAGCCCUCCUGUCUCGGGGGUGGGGAGCCCAGCACAAAGCGAGCGUCGACCGGACUUUAGCCUAACUGCCCCGUGGAGGUUCGAAUCCUUCUCCUACAGCCA
rnacentral:tRNA from 1 species